UGCCAGACUCCUACGGGAGGCAGCAGUGGGGAAUAUUGCACAAUGGGGGGAACCCUGAUGCAGCGACGCCGCGUGGGUGAAGGAGUACUUCGGUACGUAAAGCCCUAUCAGCAGGAAGGAAAAUGACGGUACCUGACUAAGAAGCCCCGGCUAACUACGCGCCAGCAGCCGCGGUAAUACGUAGGGGGCAAGCGUUAUCCGGAUUUACUGGGUGUAAAGGGAGCGUAGACGGCGAUGCAAGCCAGAUGUGAAAGCCCGGGGCUCAACCCCGGGACUGCAUUUGGAACUGUGUGGCUGGAGUGUCGGAGAGGCAGGCGGAAUUCCUAGUGUAGCGGUGAAAUGCGUAGAUAUUAGGAGGAACACCAGUGGCGAAGGCGGCCUGCUGGACGAUGACUGACGUUGAGGCUCGAAAGCGUGGGGAGCAAACAGGAUUAGAUACCCUUGUA
rnacentral:rRNA from 1 species